rnacentral:misc_RNA from 1 species
UCUCCGUUGGUGAACCAGCGGAGGGAUCAUUACCGAGUUUACAACUCCCAAACCCAAUGUGAACGUUACCAAACUGUUGCCUCGGCGGGGUCACGCCCCGGGUGCGUCGCAGCCCCGGAACCAGGCGCCCGCCGGAGGAACCAACCAAACUCUUUCUGUAGUCCCCUCGGGGACGUUAUUUCUUACAGCUCUGAGCAAAAAUUCAAAAUGAAUCAAAACUUUCAACAACGGAUCUCUUGGUUCUG